rnacentral:rRNA from 1 species
GAUGAAUGCUGGCGGCGUGCCUAACACAUGCAAGUCGAGCGGCAGCGCGGUCUUCGGACUGGCGGCGAGCGGCGGACGGCUGAGUAACGCGUGGGAACGUAUCCCAAAGUGAGGAAUAACUGCCCGAAAGGGUGGCUAAUGCCGCAUAUGGUCUUCGGAUUAAAGGAUUUAUCCGCUUUGGGAACGGCCUGCGUACGAUUAGAUAGUUGGUGAGGUAAUGGCUCACCAAGUCAGCGAUCGUUAACUGGUCUGAGAGGAUGAUCAGUCAGACUGGAACUGAGACACGGUCCAGACUCCUACGGGAGGCAGCAGUGAGGAAUCUUCCACAAUGGGCGAAAGCCUGAUGGAGCAACGCCGCGUGCAGGAUGAAGGCCUUCGGGUCGUAAACUGCUUUUAUAAGUGAAGAAUAUGACGGUAGCUUAUGAAUAAGCACCGGCUAACUACGUGCCAGCAGCCGCGGUAAACGUAGCGUG